rnacentral:rRNA from 1 species
UACAGAGGUCUCAAGCGUUGUUCGGAUUCAUUGGGCGUAAAGGGUGCGUAGGCGGCGCGGUAAGUCCGGGUGUGAAAUCUCGGAGCUUAACUCCGAAACUGCAUUCGAUACUGCCGUGCUUGAGGACUGGAGAGGAGACUGGAAUUUACGGUGUAGCGGUGAAAUGCGUAGAUAUCGUAAGGAAGACCCAGUGGCGAAGGCGGGUC